CUGACAGCACCCCACCCCUGCCUGCCUCCUACUGACAGCACCCCACCCCUGCCUCCCUCCUACUGACAGCACCCCACCCCUGGGGUGCAUUCUACACAAGGGUCAGUAGGAGGGAGGCAGGGGUGGGGUGCUGUCAGUAGGAGGCAGGCAGGGGUGGGGUGCUGUCAGUGUGAGGCGUGGGUGGGAUGGGGUGCUGUCAGUAGGAGGGGGGCAGGGGUGGGGUGCUGUCAGUAGGAGGGGGGCAGGGAUGGGAUGGGGUGCUGUCAGUAGGAGGGGGGCAGGGAUGGGAUGGGGUGCUGUCAGUAGGAGGGGGGCAGGGAUGGGGUGCUGUCAGUAGGAGGCGGGCAGCAGGGAUGGGAUGGGGUGCUGUCAGUAGGAGGGGGGCAGGGAUGGGAUGGGGUGCUGUCAGUAGAAGGGGGGCAGGGAUGGGAUGGGGUGCUGUCAGUAGGAGGGGGGGGGAUCUGUACUGGGGAAGCUGAUUGCUUGCAUUAUAUGAACACUGCCUACUGGUUUUAGAGAUGAUGUAAGGAUGUGGUUAGCCAACCUGUGUUUGUCAGUCACAUUUAAUAUUUAGGGUGGUGGUAAUAUUCACAACAAACAAUCCAUUAUAAACCCACACAAAUCUACUGUGGUUACAAGUCAGUCACAUUGAAAAGUCUUCUAAUGAUGUAAAUUGUUUAAAUGUAUCUGUUUAAACAAUAGCCCCCCAAAAAAUCAUGCUAAUUACUGGUUUGGUUUUCAGGCUGAGCUUUUUGGUUUCCACACAUUGUACUAUAUUAUAGAGGUUUACUCAUAGUUUGAGACAGGUUCAAAAAUAGACCAGAUUUCUCUCAUAUUAAUAAUGUUAACAGCAACUUUUGAAUAUAUCGGUGGUUGAGCCUUUCAUGUAAACAGAUUCAAUAACUGGUGAGAUUAAUAAAAAAAUUGUUUAAAAAGUGUGACUUUGGUGGGCUCUGUUUGAAUUUUUGUUUUUUCUGGCAUAUGGUGGCAGUACAUGUGGGUUUUGCUCCUUUCCUGUGGACAAGUAUGUAACAAGAUUAAGUUAACAAACCCCUCCCCCUUGCCCUAUAUAAGGGCUAUCUGGCAAAAUCUACCCCAGUUUCCUUUCUUGUCCCGAGAGGGAAGGACACAACAUCUAAAUGGUGAGACACAUAGGCUCCUGGUCAGGGGGAUCCGGUCCGAGAGCUGCCCGUGUGGUUGGCUGAGAGACCAUGCUUCCGACCGGUAGGUUAC